GCCGGGCAUGGUGGUGCAUGCCUGUAAUCCCAGCGGCUGGGGAGGCUGAGACGGGAGGAUCACGAGUUCGAAGCCAGCCUCAGCAAUGGCAAGGCACUAAGCAACCCAGCAAGACCCUGUCUCUA
rnacentral:sRNA from 1 species